CAAACCGGGAUCCAGAUAUGGAAGUUGAGGAGGUUGUCUACCCUUCACUGAUCCAGCAAACCACAACUAUGCAGAAAAUGCACUUCCAAGUGAGUGGACUUUAACUCUUUCACUACAACUGCUUUCAUCUUCUCGAAUGUGUGUGGGCGUGGGAUGGUUGGUGUGUGGCCUGCUUCCGCACUCAAUGCCUUUUCCUUGUUCUGCUCCUCACUAUUUGCAUACAUAUGCAUAUAUAGUGCCGGUACUCUGACAGUGAAUCCAUUUAAUGCUUGGCAAAGCCUGCACCGUACCACCAGCUGCGUCCACUUCGGACCACUCAGUUAGGAGAUAGCAGAGAAAACGACAUAUAUAUCAAAAGGAGACCAGAAACAAUGAAUAACUUCUCAUGCAAUCCACUCAAAAGUUGAAUUUUUUAUUAUAAACAUCACGCUGCUGCCAGGGCCCAAAGCUGAGAUUUUUCCGGAAAGAAAAGAUUGAUGUCCACCAAUGGGCGUGCUUGUGCCGAAAGAUAUGUGGGCUCUUCUUUGCCACUCCACCCACCCCAUCAGAUAUCAGAGAGAGGGAGGAUAAAGGUAGGUGCCGUGGGGCUGCUUUCCUAUUCAAUCUUCAAUUACAGAAUUUAUUGUCUGGUUUCCGUGUCAAAAUCAUUCACUGACAUGGAUGUCAGCAACCAUAAUUUUGAAUGAGAUCGUUAUCUGUCCAAAUAAUUUUGGUAAAUAUUUUUAGUCUUUGGAGGUGCGAGGUGGCCGACCGCAGGCGUCGCUGCACUGUUGAUGUUUGGUCCUUGUAGGUUGUGGCUUGGGCUCUCCAUCCUCUUUCCCGGGACCAACGGCACAGUUGACUUUCCAGGGCUUAUCUGUCGGCUCACGUCUUGAUCUCGACAUUGUCGGCGACGGAUCUAAGUUGUCGUUAGUUUCUACAUCAGUUACUGUAUGUGAGAGAGAUCAGAAUGUAUUCUGCUGCUCUGUCUCCAGAAAAAACAGGACUCUGACGCGCUGCAGGUAGGAUGAAUUGCUUGCAGUCUGGUUGCCUUCUUGUUUACUCUUAUGUUCUGGUUUGUUUCCUUGCUUUCUCAAUUUCAACGGCGGUUUUAAAUCAAACAUGAGAUUUGAAUCAGUGAAAAAAGUUCGUUGUGGAAAAAUGGGGGUUUAGAAGAGAAGAGGAAUUUCAAGUUAGAACAGGGAGGUCAGCACCAUUCUGCGGCUUGCAGCUGUCCAUCUCCAUCUUCUGCCACGGGCGCCAUUGGAUCACCCUCAAAUUCAAUCUCAAAUAGUGCUAGUGGUAGUCCUAGAGCAUCUACAAAUGUAACACCUUGUCUGCAGGCCUCUACAAUUUUGCGUCCUCAACAAGCAAAUGUAAAGCAUUCAACAUCAAGCUCUAGCUCAAAGUCGAACCUGAACAACCCUAACAUGCCACCCAUUCUAGGGCAUCAUCCUCAGAAACUUCCUGCUCCCAGCUCAGUCACUAGGCAACAGCAACAGCAGCCAAAACAGCAACCUUCUGAGGCUCAGCUCUUCUUUUCUAAUCCUCAUUUGCAACAGGUUUAAUAUGCUCAAUCCAAUGCUUCUGCUGCUCAAUACUAUCAGAAGAGGCCAGUUGAACAUACAAGCCAAACUCAACAACAGCAGCAACACAACUCUGGUUCCAUCUAUUUCCAGUUUGCUUUCCCUCUGUGCCCCCUCAGCGCUGACACUUGCCGGUGUUCCUAUUGCGUGGGAUCCAACAAAAGCAAUGGCAAUGAACUCUCUGGCUGCAGCUAAUAAUUUGAAGGGUUUGGCACCAACUAGCUUCCUCAGUGCAGCUCAGCCUGCGUCAGCUUCUCCUCGACCUCCAAUUUCUGCUCCGUUCUCAUAUAUGUCUUUGCUCCGUUCUCAUUUUCCGAACAGAAGCCUACAGCUGGAACCGACAUUUUGCAGCCUGGUGGCAACCUAAGAAGAGAUGAUAAUAUACUGUAUUAAACAAGGGUUUAGGCAACUGACCCUAGAAGAUCAGUGACGAUGCUUGGGCACAUCGAUUACAUCUGACGCUUCUUUCACUGUUUCUGGAAAGAAACAAGAAGAAUCAACUCUACACGACUCGAGAGCGAAAAUAUGAAGGAGACUAAAUGGAGAUCAGUCAUGCUAUUUUCAUCUUAUCCCAAGGCGCCCAGCAGAUGUCGCUGCAACUGGAUCAAACUGAUUUUCAGCAGUGCGAGAUCAGCCAUGCUAUUUUAAUCUCCGCCAUUAACCUUGUCCCGCAAUGCUUAUUUAUCGCCAUUGCCCACGUGAUUUCUUUGCGGGCUCCCGGCGGUAGAGUCGAAAGGACUGACCUAUCCGGGCUGUUCUAUCUGGGUCGAUCGAGUUGAUCGAAAUAAAAGUUCCGGAUUGACAAUCUAUUGAUUAGUUUUUUUUCUUCCUCCCUCGCUUAUAUUCUUCCUUUUCUUCUUUUUCUCAGCUCGUCGGACCCCGAGCUUAAAGUCCGGAUAGGACAAUACGUGACUCUGCCCUGGCUGGCUCUCGGUGCUUCUUCACAUAAGCUCUUUCUUUUCUUUUGGCAGUUGUGCAUGCAUUUUCCUCCGUUGCCUCUGCAGUAAUUCUAGGGAAGGUCAAGAGUGGAUGCCGCACUGGCACUGCACCCUUGUGGACCAGAUGACUUGUCUUGCGCCACAAGACUGUCACUGUCCUAGUAAACACACAAUCAAAGUGAUUGUGAUUCCUCUGCUGAAUAAGGCUUAAAGCUGUCAAAUCGGCUGACCGUGACAGGAAGGAUCAGCCCGUUGCGGGCAAGCAGGAUGAAACAGACUGAUCCAAGAUAAUUAUCUUGACGGUAGAAUCUAUUAGCCCAUAAAAAAAAUAAAAAAAUAUUU